GAGUUUGAUCCUGGCUCAGGAUGAACGCUAGCGGGAGGCCUAACACAUGCAAGCCGAGCGGUAGAGAGUAGCUUGCUACUCUUGAGAGCGGCGCACGGGUGCGUAACACGUGUGCAACCUACCUUUAUCUGGGGGAUAGCCUUUCGAAAGGAAGAUUAAUACCCCAUAAUAUAUUGACUGGCAUCAGUUGAUAUUGAAAACUCCGGUGGAUAGAGAUGGGCACGCGCAAGAUUAGAUAGUUGGUGAGGUAACGGCUCACCAAGUCAAUGAUCUUUAGGGGUCCUGAGAGGGAGAUCCCCCACACUGGUACUGAGACACGGACCAGACUCCUACGGGAGGCAGCAGUGAGGAAUAUUGGACAAUGGGUGAGAGCCUGAUCCAGCCAUCCCGCGUGAAGGAUGACGGCCCUAUGGGUUGUAAACUUCUUUUGUACAGGGAUAAACCUACCCUCGUGAGGGUAGCUGAAGGUACUGUACGAAUAAGCACCGGCUAACUCCGUGCCAGCAGCCGCGGUAAUACGGAGGGUGCAAGCGUUAUCCGGAUUUAUUGGGUUUAAAGGGUCCGUAGGCGGAUCUGUAAGUCAGUGGUGAAAUCUCGCAGCUUAACUGCGAAACUGCCAUUGAUACUGCAGGUCUUGAGUAAAUUUGAAGUGGCUGGAAUAAGUAGUGUAGCGGUGAAAUGCAUAGAUAUUACUUAGAACACCAAUUGCGAAGGCAGGUCACUAAGAUUUAACUGACGCUGA
rnacentral:rRNA from 1 species